AACUACUGCUUAUGCUAAGGUGCAUUUAGUGCAGAUAGUGAAAUAGACUAGCACCUACUGCUCUAAGUGCCCCUUCUGGCAUAAGGGGCUGGCAA
rnacentral:pre_miRNA from 1 species